rnacentral:rRNA from 1 species
CCUACGGGAGGCAGCAGUGAGGAAUAUUGGUCAAUGGCCGGAAGGCUGAACCAGCCAUGCCGCGUGAAGGUCAGUGCCCUAUGGGCGUUAAACUUCUUUUGUGCGGGAGCAAUACUGGUCACGUGUGGCACGACUAGAGUACCGUACGAAUAAGCAUCGGCUCACUCCGUGCCAGCAGCCGCGGUCAUACGGGGGAUGCAAGCGUUAUCCGGAGUUAUUGGGUUUAAAGAGUGCGUAGGCUGUGAGGUAAGUCAGCGGUGAAAUGCCCCCGCUCAACGGGGUGAAGUGCCAUUGAUACUGCCGUGCUGGAAUGCGGAUGCCGUGGGAGGAAUGUGUGGUGUAGCGGUGAAAUGCAUAGAUAUCACACAGAACACCGAUUGCGAAGGCAUCUCACGAAGCCGCGAUUGACGCUGAUGCACGAAAGCGUGGGUAUCAAACAGGAUUAGAUACCCGAGUAGUC